AUCCUUUCGUAGUUCAUGAGCAUGACGAUUGGCUGUUCACACAAAUAUGUGAAAUGUGCCAGCCUCAAACCUUCUUGUGACAUCAGAUCAGCACAUGACUCUGCUGGGA
ensembl:snoRNA